rnacentral:rRNA from 1 species
ACUUUUAGCAAUGGAUCUCUAGGCUCUCAUAUCGAUGAAGAACAGUGAAAUGUGAUAAUUAAUGUGAAUUGCAGAAUUCAGUGAAUCAUCAAGUUUUUGAACGCACCUUGCACCUUUUGGUAUUCCAAAAGGUACACCUGUUUGAGUGUCAU